rnacentral:rRNA from 1 species
CAGCGGCGGACGGGUGAGUAACACGUGGGCAACCUGCCUGUAAGACUGGGAUAACUCCGGGAAACCGGAGCUAAUACCGGAUACUAUGUCAAACCGCAUGGUUUGACAUUCAAAGACGGUUUCGGCUGUCACUUACAGAUGGGCCCGCGGCGCAUUAGCUAGUUGGUGAGGUAACGGCUCACCAAGGCGACGAUGCGUAGCCGACCUGAGAGGGUGAUCGGCCACACUGGGACUGAGACACGGCCCAGACUCCUACGGGAGGCAGCAGUAGGGAAUCUUCCGCAAUGGACGAAAGUCUGACGGAGCAACGCCGCGUGAGUGAUGAAGGUUUUCGGAUCGUAAAACUCUGUUGUCAGGGAAGAACAAGUGCCGGAGUAACUGCCGGCGCCUUGACGGUACCUGACCAGAAAGCCACGGCUAACUACGUGCCAGCAGCCGCGGUAAUACGUAGGUGGCAAGCGUUGUCCGGAAUUAUUGGGCGUAAAGCGCGCGCAGGCGGUUUCUUAAGUCUGAUGUGAAAGCCCCCGGCUCAACCGGGGAGGGUCAUUGGAAACUGGGAAACUUGAGUGCAGAAGAGGAGAGUGGAAUUCCACGUGUAGCGGUGAAAUGCGUAGAGAUGUGGAGGAACACCAGUGGCGAAGGCGACUCUCUGGUCUGUAACUGACGCUGAGGCGCGAAAGCGUGGGGAGCGAACAGGAUUAGAUACCCUGGUAGUCCACGCCGUAAACGAUGAGUGCUAAGUGUUAGAGGGUUUCCGCCCUUUAGUGCUGCAGCUAACGCAUUAAGCACUCCGCCUGGGGAGUACGGUCGCAAGACUGAAACUCAAAGGAAUUGACGGGGGCCCGCACAAGCGGUGGAGCAUGUGGUUUAAUUCUUCUAGAGAUAGAAGGUUCCCCUUCGGGGGACAAAGUGACAGGUGGUGCAUGGUUGUCGUCAGCUCGUGUCGUGAGAUGUUGGGUUAAGUCCCGCAACGAGCGCAACCCUUGAUCUUAGUUGCCAGCAUUCAGUUGGGCACUCUAAGGUGACUGCCGGUGACAAACCGGAGGAAGGUGGGGAUGACGUCAAAUCAUCAUGCCCCUUAUGACCUGGGCUACACACGUGCUACAAUGGAUGGUACAAAGGGCUGCGAGACCGCGAGGUUUAGCCAAUCCCAUAAAACCAUUCUCAGUUCGGAUUGCAGGCUGCAACUCGCCUGCAUGAAGCUGGAAUCGCUAGUAAUCGCGGAUCAGCAUGCCGCGGUGAAUACGUUCCCGGGCCUUGUACACACCGCCCGUCACACCACGUAGAGUUUGCA